rnacentral:rRNA from 1 species
AGUGAACGCUGGCGGUAGGCCUAACACAUGCAAGUCGAACGGCAGCACAGUAAGAGCUUGCUCUUACGGGUGGCGAGUGGCGGACGGGUGAGGAAUAUAUCGGAAUCUACUUUUUCGUGGGGGAUAACGUAGGGAAACUUACGCUAAUACCGCAUACGACCUACGGGUGAAAGCAGGGGAUCUUCGGACCUUGCGCGAUUGAAUGAGCCGAUGUCGGAUUUGCUAGUUGGCGGGGUAAAGGCCCACCAAGGCGACGAUCCGUAGCUGGUCUGAGAGGAUGAUCGGCCACACUGGAACUGAGACACGGUCCAGACUCCUACGGGAGGCAGCAGUGGGGAAUAUUGGACAAUGGGCGCAAGCCUGAUCCAGCCAUACCGCGUGGGUGAAGAAGGCCUUCGGGUUGUAAAGCCCUUUUGUUGGGAAAGAAAAGCAGCAGGUUAAUACCCCGCUGUUCUGACGGUACCCAAAGAAUAAGCACCGGCUAACUUCGUG